rnacentral:rRNA from 1 species
AUUGAACGCUGGCGGCAGGCCUAACACAUGCAAGUCGCACGAGUGGCGGACGGGUGAGUAAUGUCUGGGAAACUGCCUGAUGGAGGGGGAUAACUACUGGAGACGGUAGCUACUACCGCAUACCAUCGGAUGUGCCCAGAUGGGAUUAGCUAGUCGGUGGGGUAAAGGCUCACCUAGGCGACGAUCCCUAGCUGGUCUAAGAGGAGGACCAGCCACACUGGAACUGAGACACGUUCCAGACGCCUACGGGAGGCAGCAGUGGGGAAUAUUGCACAAUGGGCGCAAGCCUGAUGCAGCCAUGCCGCGUGUAUGAAGAAGGCCUUCGGGUUGUAAAGUACUUUAAGCGGGGAGGCGUUACCCGCAGAAGAAGCACCGGCUAACUCCGUGCCAGCCGCCGCGGUAAUUC